GAUGAACGCUGGCGGCGUGCCUAAUACAUGCAAGUCGAGCGAACAGACGAGGAGCUUGCUCCUCUGACGUUAGCGGCGAACGGGUGAGUAACACGUGGAUAACCUACCUAUAAGACUUGGAUAACUUCGGGAAACCGGAGCUAAUACCGGAUAAUAUAUUGAACCGCAUGGUUCAAGAGUGAAAGACGGUUUUGCAGUCACUUAUAGAUGGAUCCGCGCCGCAUUAGCUAGUUGGUAAGGUAACGGCUUACCAAGGCAACGAUGCGUAGCCGACCUGAGAGGGUGAUCGGCCACACUGGCACUGAGACACGGCCCAGACUCCUACGGUAGGCCGCAGUAGGGAAUCUUCCGCAAUGGGCGAAAGCUUGACGGAGCAACGCCGCGUGAGUGAUGAAGGUCUUCGGAUCGUAAAGCUCUGUUAUUAGGGAAGAACAAAUGUGUAAGUAACUAUGCACGUCUUGACGGUACCUAAUCAGAAAGCCACGGCUAACUACGUG
rnacentral:rRNA from 1 species